CAGGUGAAGCCAGAUGAGAAAGUUGAAGCUUAUAAGGCUAUUAAGUAGCAAAGGCAACAAGACUGAAGAAAGCAGCACAGGCAACAACACUGAGUAGAUUUGAAGUUUUUUUUAGCUUUCCUAAGAAAAAUGUUGCAGAUAAUUACUAUCUAUCUAUAUUAGAUUUGCAUAGAGAGUGCUGUGAGAAAGAAAUGUGUCCUGCAAUAGUAAAAUACUUGUCUUCUGAAAUUGUGCUUGACUAUAAGCUUGCCUCAUCAACAGAAAGCCUGCUGUAAAGUGACCUCAGAUUUUGCCCGAGAAUACAACUAGUUGCUAUGUUUAAAUGUGUUAAACCAGCCUGUGUGUGAGGGUGAUGUCUACAAUAUCAGUCAUCUGUGCAACACCAGGGACCACAGCAAAUCGUUCGAUAAGGACUAAACAUGCAUCAGCCCAAACAUAAGAUUGUUGCAACAGUUAGUUAUUUGAUAUUCUAAUGACAUUCUCUUGGAAUGUUUCUUAACUUCGACUCAGUUGCAUCUGUCAGAUAAUGAAGAGCUAAUUACUUUUGCCUGUUUACUGUUACCAAGUAAAAGAAACAAUUUUCUUUUUCCUGAAGUAGGACUUCUACCUCUCUAUGGAGCAACGAUUAAGCAGAUGGAUUAGCUGAAACCAGAUUCAAGUCCAGGCCUAUGAAUCUUAAUGUUCACUUCAUUUGUCUGGCUUUCAAAUAACGGUAACAGGUUUUAAUCUGAAGAAUGAACUGGUUUAUGAAAGAAUUGAACAUAGAGAAUUAAUCAAAGCUUAAACAUCUUCAUCCAGGUUAUGGAAUGCUACUGCCUAAUUCUGCUUGAAACCGAUCCUCACUGUUUAGUCCUAUAUUGUGUGAGACCAAUAUACAAUUGCAGGAAGGAAACGAGGAAGUGGAGCAAGAAGUUACAGGAAAUCCUGAAGAAUUUACUAGCCAAGAAGAACUAUUGGGAUAUUUGGUAAGUGUUACCUAGCAAUGCAAUUUUUGAAAAGCUUUCACAGAAUUACUAAAUUUAAAAUGUAGCAGGUAACAUAAAAGCCAAAAUGUAGACAGUCUGCUAA